UAGCUAGUUGGUGAGGUAAAGGCUUACCAAGGCGACGAUCUGUAGCGGGUCUGAGAGGAUGAUCCGCCACACUGGAACUGAGACACGGUCCAGACUCCUACGGGAGGCAGCAGUGGGGAAUUUUGGACAAUGGGGGCAACCCUGAUCCAGCCAUGCCGCGUGAGUGAAGAAGGCCUUCGGGUUGUAAAGCUCUUUCGGCCGGGAAGAAAUCGCAUGGGCCAAUACCCUGUGUGGAUGACGGUACCGGAAUAAGAAGCACCGGCUAACUACGUGCCAGCAGCCGCGGUAAUACGUGGGGUGCGAGCGUUAAUCGGAAUUACUGGGCGUAAAGCGUGCGCAGGCGGUUUUGUAAGACAGGCGUGAAAUCCCCGGGCUUAACCUGGGAACUGCGUUUGUGACUGCAAGGCUAGAGUACGGCAGAGGGGGGUGGAAUUCCACGUGUAGCAGUGAAAUGCGUAGAGAUGUGGAGGAACACCAAUGGCGAAGGCAGCCCCCUGGGUCGAUACUGACGCUCAUGCACGAAAGCGUGGGUAGCAAACAGGAUUAGAUACCCUGGUAGUCCACGCCCUAAACUAUGUCAACUAGGUGUUGGGUGGGUAAAACCAUUUAGUACCGUAGCUAACGCGUGAAGUUGACCGCCUGGGGAGUACGGCCGCAAGGUUAAAACUCAAAGGAAUUGACGGGGACCCGCACAAGCGGUGGAUGAUGUGGAUUAAUUCGAUGCAACGCGAAAAACCUUACCUACCCUUGACAUGCCAGGAACUUGCCAGAGAUGGCUUGGUGCCCGAAAGGGAGCCUGGACACAGGUGCUGCAUGGCUGUCGUCAGCUCGUGUCGUGAGAUGUUGGGUUAAGUCCCGCAACGAGCGCAACCCUUGUCGUUAAUUGCCAUCAUUUAGUUGGGCACUUUAACGAGACUGCCGGUGACAAACCGGAGGAAGGUGGGGAUGACGUCAAGUCCUCAUGGCCCUUAUGGGUAGGGCUUCACACGUCAUACAAUGGUCGGUACAAAGGGUUGCCAAGCCGCGAGGCGGAGCCAAUCCCAGAAAGCCGAUCGUAGUCCGGAUUGCAGGCUGCAACUCGCCUGCAUGAAGUCGGAAUCGCUAGUAAUCGUGGAUCAGCAUGUCACGGUGAAUACGUUCCCGGGUCUUGUACACACCGCCCGUCACACCAUGGGAGCGGGUUCCGCCAGAAGUAGGUAGCCUAACCGCAAGGGGGGCGCUUACCACGGCGGGGUUCGUGACUGGGGUGAAGUCGUAACAAGGUAGCCGUAGGGGAACCUGCGGCUG
rnacentral:rRNA from 1 species